rnacentral:tRNA from 1 species
CAGGGAGACAACAAAAUGUUUAAUAUUAUUUUGUCACCUUAGGUCGAUCGGUAUCUCACGUUUUUAAUUUAUUAAAAAUUUCAUUUCCUAAGUUUUUCUAGGUCACACCCAUUAUUUUUCCUGGGCCAUUAGCUCAGGUGGUUAGAGCGCACCCCUGAUAAGGGUGAGGUCCCUGGUUCAAGUCCAGGAUGGCCCAUAUCUCUAUGUUGGGGGUAUAGCUCAGUUGGUAGAGCGCCUGCUUUGCAAGCAGGAUGUCAGCGGUUCGAGUCCGCUUACCUCCACUGAUUACCACCUCUUCCAUAACAGGUAGAAAGGAAAUGUUUUGAGUUGUGAUCAUUAUUCUGAACGAAUCUAGCUUCCUAAUGAAAUCAUUAAGAUGCUGGACUCAUUGAAUUAAUUUCAUUGUUUUCAGAGAACCUUGACAACUGCAUAGAUUAUUUUUAAAGACAAUAAGCAUCUUUAAUGAUGCAGAUUUAUUAUUUGUGCGAAUGCAUUAAUAACAAUUCUAUUAAGCUGAUGCUUCAAUUUUUGAAGUUAUU